rnacentral:rRNA from 1 species
UUGGUUAAGUUAGAAAGGGCGCACGGUGGAUGCCUUGGCACUAGGAGCCGAAGAAGGACGGGACUAACACCGAUAUGCUUUGGGGAGCUGUACGUAAGCGUUGAUCCAGAGAUUUCCGAAUGGGGGAACCCACUAUCUUUAGUCGGAUAGUAUCCUUACGUGAAUACAUAGCGUAAGGAAGGCAGACCCAGGGAACUGAAACAUCUAAGUACCUGGAGGAAGAGAAAGAAAAAUCGAUUUCCUGAGUAGCGGCGAGCGAAACGGAAAGAGCCCAAACCAAGAAGCUUGCUUCUUGGGGUUGUAGGACACUCUAUACGGAGUUACAAAAGAAAGUUAUAAAUGAAGCGGUCUGGAAAGGCCCGCCAAAGACGGUAACAGCCCGGUAGUUGAAAUGGCUUUCCCUCCAGAGUGGAUCCUGAGUACGGCGGAACACGUGAAAUUCCGUCGGAAUCCGGGAGGACCAUCUCCCAAGGCUAAAUACUCCCUAGUGACCGAUAGUGAACCAGUACCGUGAGGGAAAGGUGAAAAGCACCCCGGAAGGGGAGUGAAACAGUUCCUGAAACCGUGUGCCUACAAGUAGUUAGAGCCCGUUAAUGGGUGAUAGCGUGCCUUUUGUAGAAUGAACCGGCGAGUUACGAUUUGUUGCAAGGUUAAGCGGAAAAAGCGGAGCCGUAGCGAAAGCGAGUCUGAAUAGGGCGCAUAAGUAACAGGUCGUAGACCCGAAACCAGGUGAUCUACCCAUGUCCAGGAUGAAGGUAAGGUAAUACUUACUGGAGGUCCGAACCCACGCACGUUGAAAAGUGCGGGGAUGAGGUGUGGGUAGCGGAGAAAUUCCAAUCGAACUUGGAGAUAGCUGGUUCUCUCCGAAAUAGCUUUAGGGCUAGCCUCGAGGUAAAGAGUCAUGGAGGUAGAGCACUGUUUGGACUAGGGGCCCUUCUCGGGUUACCGAAUUCAGAUAAACUCCGAAUGCCAUGUACUUAUACUCGGGAGUCAGACUGCGAGUGAUAAGAUCCGUAGUCGAAAGGGAAACAGCCCAGACCACCAGUUAAGGUCCCCAAAUAUAUGUUAAGUGGAAAAGGAUGUGGGGUUGCUUAGACAACCAGGAUGUUGGCUUAGAAGCAGCCACCAUUGAAAGAGUGCGUAAUAGCUCACUGGUCGAGUGACCCCGCGCCGAAAAUGUACCGGGGCUAAACAUAUUACCGAAACUGUGGAUGAACCUCUUUAGAGGUUCGUGGUAGGAGAGCGUUCUAAGGGCGGUGAAGUCAGACCGGAAGGACUGGUGGAGCGCUUAGAAGUGAGAAUGCCGGUAUGAGUAGCGAAAGAAGGGUGAGAAUCCCUUCCACCGAAUAUCUAAGGUUUCCUGAGGAAGGCUCGUCCGCUCAGGGUUAGUCGGGACCUAAGCCGAGGCCGAUAGGCGUAGGCGAUGGACAACAGGUAGAGAUUCCUGUACCAGUGCUAAUUGUUUAACCGAUGGGGUGACACAGAAGGAUAGGGAAUCGCACGAAUGGAAAUGUGCGUCCAAGCAGUGAGUGUGA